UGGGUUUUAAUAAAUGGAAGAAAGAGACACAGAUUCCAAAUGUUUACUACACCAUUUUUUCCCCAAACUGUGAGGACUAUAUUUCUUUUCCAUUGCUUAUUGAACAUUUGUCCCCCUUUCUGGUUUCUAAAAGGUGUGUUCCUCUUUUUACACAUAGGCUUUGAGCACAGUGUUGUAGAAGAAGGGUAUAGAAUAAACUUGCAUUGAGGUGUCAGCUAAAAAGGUUUAUAGUUUAGAAUUUCUGCUUGCUUAUUAUGGUGCCUGGAACAAAUCACUUAAACAUCUCAGGCUUAGGUUACUUAUCUAUAAAAUGGAGAUUCUAUUGAGUGCUUAUUGUGCUCAUCUAAUAUUUACCACACCCUUGAGAAGAGGUAAUUUUCCCAUACCCAGCCAAGUAAUAUUCAGGACUGAAAAACUGAACCCAACUUUGUCUGAUUCUAAAUCAUCUUCUUAACUGGUAUCAACCUCUGAAGAAUUUCUGGAAAUUUGGCAUUUGUUUUUCAAAUUUAUAAGGAUGAAUUAUUAUUAUUAUUAUUAUUUAAUAGUUAUUUCCCCAAUACAAUCUUUUUUAUACUGUAUAGCAUGGUGACCCAGUUACACAUACAUGUACACAUUCUAUUUUUGCACAGUAUCAUGCUCCAUCAUAAGUGACUAGACAUAGUUCCCAGUGCUACACAGCAGGAUCUCAUUGCUAAUCCAUUCCAAAGGAAAUAGUUUGUAUCUGUUAACCCCAAGCUCCCCAACCACCUCACUCCCUCCCCCUCCCCCUUGGCAACCACAAGUCUAUUCUCCAAGUCCAUGAUUUUCUUUUCUGUGGAAAGGUUCAUUUGUACCUUAUAUUAGGUUCCAGAUAUAAGUGAUAUCAUAUGGUAUUUGUCUUUCUCUUUCUGACUUACUUCACUCAGGAUGAGAGUCUCUAGUUUCAUCCAUGUUGCUGCAAAUGGCAUCAUUUUGUUAUUUUUUAUGGCUGAGUAGUAUUCCAUGGUGUAUAUAUACCACUUCUUCGGAACCCAAUCGUCUGCUGAUGGACAUUUGGAAAAAAAAAUUAUAAGGGUUUAGUCCCAUUUAACUGAAGGAGUUUCUAGUGGAUUUUUGUGCACAGCUAUUACUAAAUGCUUCCGAUAAAAUCAUUUAGAUAAUGCUUGGGUUUUGUGAAGAUGUAACAGUGUCUAUGAAGAUUUAUUAGAGGUCUUGCAGAUGGAGAAUGUAACUCUUUUGGAGAGAUUCCCUGAUUUUCAAACCCCAACAAUCAGAACAUUUACAUGAUUAAAUUUCACUAUCAGUGAAACCCUUUUUUCUAAAUUCUGCCUGGAAAAUGAAUGAUUUCCCAAAAGAUACUUGCCAAACUGGCAUUAUUAUGAAUUUGAUCUUUGCUUUGUCUUAGGUAGCUUCUGGCAACUAGCUAAGUGUUGGUGCUUUAAUGUCUGUACAUCCUUACAAGUACUGCUAAUUGUCUUCAUUUUUACCUAAUAUAAUCCUGGCAGUGGACACACAAACCUAUUUGCAGUAGUCCCAAGUGUGUCACAAGAAUUAAUAUUAAUGUAUAACAUGAAAACAUUGAAAUUAUGCCGGCCUGCUAGUCAUCACCAUUAAUGAUUAUUAUGAUAAACAUUCAUUUAGAUAAAGAUGUGGAUUAGGCCAUAAAACUCCAGAAUAUGUGCAGUGGCUGUUAACCAACCAAAAAUGGAAAGGCUUCGCCUCACAAAAACCCUACAGAAAUAAGUAAAUUAAACACUAGUUUACUUACCCUUUAACUCACUUUAGUGUCCUGCUAUAGAAAGUGUUUUUGAAAGUGCCUGUGGUUUGAAAUGCUGAACAGCCUUUUAAAAACUGUUAUAGUCUAAAUAAAUACAUAGAAAAUACUUGAAAUGCAGUGUUCUGUGCCCAGCAAGAACUUCUUAGUGUUGCUUACUAUAAAGCAGUGUAGGAGUUUUUAAUAAGGGAUUUUAAUGGUUGUUAAAAUUUUAUAAAACGUGAAGGCAAAUUUUCAAAAUACCUUGGUAAUUUUUCAAAAUACCUUGGUAAUGGUAAGAUUUCCCUUUUCCUUUCAGGUAAAUUCUAGGUAGGAUGAUAUUUUAAAAAUCUUUCUCUUUUAUGGAGAAUUUAACCAAAUACAUGGUAUUUUCAUGUUUAUUCAUUUAUUGAACCAGAGAGUUACUGAAUGCCGAGAAUGUGCCUGCUACUCUCUUUUGGCCUGAACUGAUUGUUUUGCAUCUUUAGACCCAGGGACAGAGCCUCAGAAACAGUUCUAGGUACAUAGUAAGUGCUCAGUUAGCAUUGGCUUCAAUUUUUAUUUUUAUUUGCUUACUUUUACAUAUAGUGUGGCUAAUUUUUUUUUUUUUUGACAAUACUUGGUGUAAAUGUCACCACUGCUUCGGAGCAUUUUCAUGCUUCUUAUUGACCUGUUCUCUAUAGCUUCUGUGCCCCAAUAGCUCCUUAUUGGUACUUUAAAAAAAUGAAUUUUUUUUGUUUAUACUCAUUUCCUCUAAGCUGUAAGCUUUCUUGAGCUUAUGCCUCAGUGUGUGUAGGUAUCUUUCCAUCAGGCACUCUCUCUAUUCUAGAUCUUUAAUACAGUGCAUGAGGACUGAUAUUGAAUGGGCAUACUUCCCUGUACAACUUCAAGUCUUGGUUCUGGGACAGUCACUACCAACAGAUGGUGCUGUUACGUUGUAAAGUUCUGGAGAAUAAAGCUUUCAGGCCAGUGCUACUCACACUCAAGUGUGCAUUGAAUAACCUGAGGGAUUUGAUGCAACACAGAUGCCUGGGUCCUGCCCCCUGAAGAUUCUGAUUUAGUAGUUUUGGGUGGGGCUUAAGAAUUUGCAUUUCUAGCAAGCAUGCAGGUGUUGCAGUUUUGUGGGCCACAUAGUCUUACCAAUACUUUAGACAUCUAUUGACAAAGGAUAUUUAUUCAGUAGUUACUUUUUAACUAAAAUAAAUUUAUUUACUUGCUAGUAAGAAUAUUUAUAAACUUGGUGCUUGGUAAGAUUAUAGGCUAUAGGAAAAUAUCUUUUAGAGAAAUUGGAAAUAUAUCAUUAAAACAUGUUUUUUUCUUUUUUUGUCUUUUUAGGGCCGCACCCACGGCAUAUAGAGGUUCUCAGGUUAGGAGUCAAAUUGGAGCUACAGCUGCCAGCCUACACCAAGACAUAGUAAUGCUGGAUCCAGGCCGCAUCCUCAUGGCAACGCUGGAUCCUUAACCCACCUGGCAAGGCCAGGGAUCAAACCUGCAUCCUCAUGGAUACUAGCCAGAUUCGAUUCUGCUGAGCCACAGCUGGAACUCUCUGACUGAAACAUUUUAAGAUCCCCUUAACUUGCAAUGUUCUUGCUAUUACCUACACCAUUUGUCUUAACCUAAGCAUACUUUUCGUAUAUACUUUUUUUUUUUUGGCUAUUUCUUGGGCCGCUCCUGCGGCAUAUGGAGGUUCCCAGGCUAGGGGUCCAAUCGGAGCUGUAGCCACCGGCCUACGCCAGAGCCACAGCAACGCGGGAUCAGAGCCACGUCUGCGACCUACACCACUGCUCACGGCAACGCCGGAUCGUUAACCCACUGAGCAAGGGCAGGGACCGAACCCGCAACCUCAUGGUUCCUAGUUGGAUUCGUUAACCACUGCGCCACGACGGGAACUCCACUUUUCGUAUAUAAAUGGUAUAACAUAAUUGUAAAUUCUUUCCCCUGGUCCUCCAUCUCAUUUUUCUAGAAAACCUCUGUUAAGUUUAUUCUUUCCAGAAAUGUUCUAUGCAAAUACGUAUGUAUCAUUGAUGCAUUUCCUUAUAAAAAUGGGAUUGGCGAUUUUCUUACCACACUAAAUAGGUCUUGGGUAAUUUUCAGUAUAAGUAUUUGAAACUCUUGCGGGUAAAUUAAUUUUUAAUCAGUUUUGCUCCUGAGUUCUGUCAUGCAACAGAUAUUAGACAUGCUGCUGAAAGUAGGACAUAAUUGGGUACUGGAGAAAAGGAUAUAAUAAAAUGAAUGCCAUGUGGUUUGAGUUCUAUUGAGAGAGAUGAUUCCUCUUUUUCACCGCCCCCCUUCCUGUCCUUUUUUCCUCGAAGUUGUAAAUGUGCUGAGGGGCUCCUCUGUGCCAGGCACUGUAUUAGGCACUUUGAAUAUAAACAAGUAGGUCCCUGGUGUAGAGAUAGGGAAAUGUAAGUAAUUACAACACAGUGUAAUAAGUGGGUAAUGUAGCUAGGACCAAGAUAUUUUAGAAUGUUUACCUCAGCUUCAAAGGUAAUUAAAGUCUCCCCAGAAGAAAAAUUACUUGGGAUUGCAUUCAGAGAUGAAGCAUAGAGGUCACUACUGCUCUCCAUAGAAACCAAGGCAGAACAAUAAGAGACUCCCUCUGGGUUUGGGGGAAGGCUUCAAAGAGUAUUUGUCUUGCACUUUAAAGAGUGAGUAGAAUUUAACCAGAUUAAGAAGAAAGAUGUGAAUUACAAGCAGAACAAAAUAAAUAAUGAAAAAGAAGAUAUAAUACUGUUAUGAAAAGGUAUUCCAUGAUUGCAGAAUUUAAGAAGGGAAAACACCAGAAACUUAGGCAGAGGCUUGAGUUAUAAAGAACCUUAAUCAUCACAACAAAAAGUUUGAGUUUUAUUCUCAGGAAGCACUAGCCUUUUCAGGCAAGGAAGUGACUUGAUCUUUUCUUGAUGUUUUUGCUUGUUUGUUUUGUUUUUAAGAGUGAUUUGUUUUUCCAGCUGCUUAGAUAAUAGACUAGAGAUGGAAGCAUUUGAAAGAAUGGGGACGAGUUCACAUUGUAGCUCAAGGAUAAUGAACCCGACUAGUAUCCAUGAGGGCAGGGGUUUGAUCCCUGGCCCCGCUCAUUGGGUUAAGGAUCCAGCAUUGCUGUGAGCAGUGGUGUUGGUUGCAGAUGCUGCUUGGAUCUUGUAUUGCUGUGUUUGUGGUGUAGGCCAGAACCGCAGCUCUGAUUCAACCCCUAUUCUGGAAACUUCCAUAUGCUGCAGGAGCGGUCCUAAAUAAAAAAAAAAAAAAA
rnacentral:lncRNA from 1 species